rnacentral:tRNA from 1 species
GGAGAGGUGACCGAGUGGUUGAUGGUGCCGCUCUCGAAAAGCGGUGCUCCGAAAGGAGCCGUGGGUUCAAAUCCCACCCUCUCCG